AACUAGAAUGAACAAUGCAGUAGUAAUAAAUGCGAGAAUAUUGACUUCCAUAAUCUCUUUAUUUUUUUUCACAAUAACUCGGGAUGUAAUCCCAUAGAGAGGAAAAAGGGGUAUCCUGUAAAUUUAAGGGGAGGACUUGCAUUCUGAUAAUACUGAAUCAAUUCAAUAUUAUGAAUAUUGGAUCUAUCAAAUCAAUUUAUGGUUGAUAGUGGAAUAAUAUAAUAUAGGAGGAUCCCUUAUCCAUACUAAGACCAAAAUAGGUUUUUUGAUUGGAUUCGAAACUCCCUCUAUUCUAUGUUGCAUUCUUUUCUACUUUUGCUUUUCCAUAUGUAUACCCAAAAUCCUUCUUAUCUUAUCCAAUUUCCCUUCCUUUUUCUUAUAGUUAUACAUACAAUUAUGUAUGUAUGUAUUAUAUGACCUACUUUCUAUGGGUCACAUAGACAUCCAAAUAAGGAGUAGAAGUAGAAAUGAGAUGGAGAAAAGGGUAUCUUAAAUAAAAAGGAUCCAAUAUUUAAACUUAGGAAAAAAAGUGUUUGCUUGGUUUUAUUUUAUUAGGUUACCAUCAAUAUCUGCUUUUCUUCGCAAGUCUCUCAACGCUCCACUCCUUCCUCAAGACAAAAAGCGGAAGGAUCAAGGGGACAAUGAUGAGGGUGACAAGUCAGGGGCUCAAGACUUCCAAGACCCGAAAAAUGUUGUCAAUGUCAUUUUUGGCAGAGACGGUGGCUUCCCCUCGAGGAGCGCACAGAAGCUGACCCUGCACGAAAUUCUCUCUGUCGAGCCGGCCAUACAGAAACCUCUGAGAUAUAGCGAGGUCCCAAUCUCCUUCUCUAGGGAUGACCAGUGGACUAGCUUCUCCGAGCUGGGAAAAUUCCCACUCGUCCUAGAUCCUAUCAUGGCAGGCUCACAAUUGACUCAAGUACUCAUCGACGGCGGGAGCGGCCUCAACCUGCUCAUUGCGAGUACAUUGAAGAUGAUGGGGCUGAACAUCUCCAAGAUGCUUACCCCCAGUAGAGCUCCAUUCUACAACAUCGUCCUGGGAAAUGUGGCUAUACCACUCCGCUCAGUGGCCCUGCCAGUUACUUUCGGGACGAAAGACAACUACCGCAAGGAGUACAUCAAGUUCAAGGUGGCCAACUUCGAGUCAUCAUACCACGCCAUCCUCGGCAGACCAGCUUAGGCCAAAUUCAUGGCCAUACCUCACUACGUCUACUUACUACUCAAGAUGCCAAGUAAGACAAGUGUACUCACGUUCUGUUCAAGUCAUACGACUGCAACCAAGAGGCGAUCGAGUAUGCCACGACAUCACGCAUGCUAGAACCUUUUGCGAAAGUCUUCAUGGCCAUGCAAAAGCUCACGGACUCAGAGAUGGAGAUCCCCAAUCAGAGGCCUAGCCAGUCCAGAGUAAAGCCCAACCCUAGCAACGUUGGCAUCAAGACCAUUCAGCUACAAAAAGGCGACUCAUCCAAGACUGCUUUGAUUGAAGGCGGCUUGAACGACAAAUAGGAAAGUGCGCUCAUCAGCUUCCUUAGGGCCAACCAUGAUAUAUUCGCGUGGAAACUAGCGGAUAUGCUGGGCGUGCCCAAGGAGUUGAUUGAGCAUUGCCUAAAAGUUGACCCCAAAGCCACUCCGAAGAAGCAGCGACUACGACGCUUCAUAGCAGACAAGAGGGAGGCCAUCAAGAAGGAGUUAGCAAAACUACUCACGGGUAGUUUCAUUAAAGAAGUCUACCACCCCGAGUGGUUAGCCAACCUGUACUAGUUUUGAAAGUAAAUAAUACUUCAGCUCUUCACUAAAAUAUACACCAACAAAUUUUCCCGUUGGGAAAAGUAAUGUAUUAUUUACAUUUUUUACGACAAGAAUGGGAGUUAAGUAUAAACAAUGAGGAAUGUGAGAUGCUGAAUCCUUCUGAUACUAAAAAGGUAAGGUACGAAGCUCGUUAUACCAAAAUGAAUGGAGGAUAUGUGUGGAUUACAUUGAUCUCAACAAACACUUCCCGAAGGAUCCAUUCGCGCUCCCACGCAUCGAUCAAGUCAUUGACUCUACGGUUGGCUAUGUCUUGCUCUCUUUCCUUGAUUGCUACUCGGGUUACCAUCAUAUUGCUCUCAAGGAACAAGACCAGAUCAAGACAGCAUUCAUCACCCCUUUUGGAGCAUAUGCCUGCACAACUAUAUCCUUCGGGUUGAAGAACGUAGGAGCCACCUAUCAGCGGGUGUCGGUGUUUUACCGCCUGCCCACCGAGGGGUAUACCCGAGGUGGUAAGUUUUAGGUAGGGUGACGCCGAGAUCAGGAACUCGAAGGUGCAAGCAACACUAGGUUUAGACAGGUUCGGGCCAUGAUGUGCGUAAUACCCUACGUCUUGUAUGGUGGUUUGUAUUGCCUUGGGUGUUGAUGUGUUUUGAGGGGGUCCCUGCCCGCUCUUAUAUAUCCGGGAGGACAGGGUUACAUGAAUCCCAAUCCGACACUAGCCUAGGAAUCGUACUCGAGUACAACUCGAUUAGCUUCCUUCUGCAUCGGCUAGUCCUACUUCGCAUGCGAGUAGAAUACAACACAGAUAAGGUAUAGGACAUGUCCUAUUCCCUACUCCUGUAUGAACUACGUUAUGUACGCAGUCCCGUAGUCCCGGGUCUGACAAGCCCCCGAUCUCUUUGUAGCUAAGUACUGCAGGCUCUUCAAGUACUUUCGAAGUAGUCUUCAGCUUCUUUCGAAGCUCCGUCUUGAAGUUCUUCUUCGAGUACUUCCUUGGAUGCAUCGAAGCUAUGAGGUGCUCAUGCCUCAAAUUACUUCUUUCGUUGGUGUGCGAUGAAAAAUCGCACUCCAUAUGGAGUAGCCCCCGAGCCUUAGGUUGAAUCGAAGAAUCAGGCUAAGGGUCACAUUAGUCUUGAAUCUUCCUUACUCUUCGAAUAUUUUUAAAAAAUAAAUAGUCGAUGCCAUGUAUCCCGCAGCCCCCGAGCCUUGAAUCCAAAUCUCUCAGGUUUGGAAAAAAGGAUCCAAUAGUUGUGGCAUGCAGUGAAAAAAUGUUCCCUUGGGAAAUAAUUGGUUUGAUGAUACAGAUGAUGGAAGUUAGAUUUAGAAUUCGAAAAACCCCUUUUUUCAGGAUAAUUAACCCUAAAAAAAUGAUUAAUCGAAUAAUUUAUCUAAAAAUCCACCAAAUGACCCCUCGGCUUCCGAAUAUUCCCUGUGAUGACUCUUCAAUUUCAGAAUAGUAAACCUGUAUUUGGUCGCUUUUUAUUUAACCCCGCUGUAACAUAGGGUAAAAUCCAUGCUUCCAAUCUUCAAUCCGCCGAGAAAUUUCCGAAUCCCCAAUCAGAUCCGUGCUCUGCCUUCACCUCCUUUGACAAGCCCCAAGCUAGCCGAAUCUCUCCGCCCCUUCUCUGCAGCCCUCGAGCAGCUCGUGGCAAACAGAUCUAGAAUGGUGCCCAAGAGAUCCAACGAGAAAGAUGGGAAGGGGAAGGAAUCGGAGCUGCCUUUUGGGGAGUGGACUUACAGUAAGUGCUCCAAUAACGACCUCCUGCAUCUUGUUUCUGAGGGUUUGCUUCAGGGGAACAGUCUCGUUAACUGGCACCCUUGUUUUCACCAAUCUCUUCCCAUGGAGAAUGUAGACGAAAUCGUCUCAUUCUACCAUUUCUCUGAAUGGGGUUUGGCUCUCCCCACCUGUUUCUUCUUCCGUGGCCUUGUUUACUUCUACGGGCUUGAGCUCCAUCAUCUCAACCCGAACUCUAUCUACCAUAUUGCUAUUUUCAUCCACUUUUGUGAAGCUUUCCUCAGAAUUGAACCCCAUUGGGAACUUUUCUGCUAUCUUUUCCACGUAAAGCCGCAACCCACCUCCAAAAGUCCAUCCGUUGUAGGGGGCGCUGGUGUGACAGAACCGCUUGAAUUAUUCCGGCUCAAGUGCGUAGAUCAUUGCUAUACAAGCGAUAUGACCUCAACACACUUCAGAUGGAAUAACCCAAUGGUCUGUCAGGUAACGUCCCGAUAAAACCACCGGAUUCCGGAUCGUUCAAGCGUACCUCGCACGAAGGCGAGUCCAGAUAUACAAUCACUGUUACAUUUUUACAACAUAGUCAUAGUAGUUGUUACAAACCGGUUUCUAGUAGAGUGCUGCAAUCCUAACUGAAACAAAUUUAUAUAGACAUUGUUUGAAAACUUCAAGUUUCAACAAACAUUAUUCCAAGAUGGCAGCGGAAAAGAUACAACAACGCAACUACUCGUCGCAAAGAAGGCACCAUACUUAGCCCAAAGCAUGGCGUCAUUCCAAAGGGUCAUUGCCGGCCGGGGACGGAUCCCAUUCCACGGACCAGCCAGGCGGUAAAGUGCAGGGCCAAGGAGAACUAGCAACUGAGUCCUCAAAUGACAUACCUGAAAACCACAUUACGAGCAAGGCUGAGUAUGCUAAUACUCAGCAAGGCUUACCCGUCAAUUGGGUAUACUUAGCCCAUAACUGGACCAUGAGAUGUUGAAAGGCUCUAGGUUUCUUUUGCUGAAAAACAACAAAGAGUAUAUCUUUAUUUCCAUAUUUUAGCUUUCAGAUUCUAGUUCAAUUAGCCAUUCUAAGUGAGCAUCUAUACUAGACAAGCAAGUUAGGUAUUAAAUCAUACAUCAAUAUUAUUCCACCAACUGUUGCUCUUGUUACUCUAUGUGGCAGAAGUAUCAAGCAGUCUCACUCACCGCGAGAAACGGAUGAUUCCUGAAUCGAAUUUCUUAACCUUGCAAGCGAUCCUAACUCACACGCUCGGAACUUUCCUUUCCGGGCAACCAUUCCCCUCAUAUUUUGGGUCGUGGAUUAGCGCCACCACACGCGACUGUAGGACCAUACGCACAUCCAAUGUGCAGGACGUACGUCUACAGCGCGACUGUAUGACCGUACUCCUGUCUGCUAUGCAAAAUGUACUCCCACACGUUGGUGCGUGUGUACAUAAACCAAAAUUCGAGUGGUGGGGGAUAUGUCCACUUGCCGGGCCAAUCAGGUACUAGGCUUACCGCGUACCAUAUUUACGGUUUGUGGCUAGUACUUUCAAACACUUGACCACCACUACCACACAUUACGGCCUUAUCAAAUUGAUCAACACAGACGGGUACCAUCCCAUGUCAUGGUACUGCACAUAACCCCGUCCGUGAUCCUUAUAGUGAUUGCAAAAUAGUAAACAAUCAAUUCCUAUAUCGCGCGAGUGAUAGAAAAUCACUCGACUUCUACUGGUCCUAUUAGCAAAGCAUCUACUCGAUAAGGACUCAGAAAUAUUACAUAGGUUCCUAGGUUUCAUGCAACUAGGGUUUCAUAACAACUCCUAGCACUUAAUGCACAAGAUAGAUAUAUAACAAUAAAAGUGCAUAAUGUUAAAUUACUGGGUUAUGCACCGGGGCUUGCCUUCACUGGUGAGGCUGGGGUCAGUGAUAUUAGUAUCUUCUGAACCUGGGUUCAGGGCUUCAGAAAGACCCUUGGUGACAUUUACUUGAGCUUCAGAAAUACCCUCGUCGGGAUCCGGGAUUAGAUCGUAGGUACCGUCGGCAAGUGUAGUCAAAUCUACAUGAUAUUUAAUUAUUUGAAGCAAAUGGUUAUUAUUUUAUUUUCACGAUAAAGUUGAAAUCCAACAAGAAUAUAUUCAAUAUAUCACUUCAAGACUUAACUAAUUUGUACAAACAACAGAAAGAUUUGAAACUAAACUUAAGUAGAGUUUUUGGUGUAAAAACUUUGUUCAAAACAGUUAUUUGGUGAAGGUUACAGAGCUGAUCUGAUCUACUUAACAGCAUGUUCUUCAGACAGUUUAUCUAGCUGAUUGGGGUGUGCAUCGAAAAAGUCUGAUCUGUGCAUACGGCAUCGACUGUGUUUAGCCGAUUGAAGUGUCCUAUAUCAGCUGUGCCUUAGCCGAUACCUGCCUGAGGUGUUAACCUGCGUAUCUACUUGUGCACGCAUCGGCUUGAUUUUUCUUUGGCAAAAGUAGCCGAUAGAGGUGUAGCCGAUCGACGUAUAGUCGAUGAGCGUGUGGUCGAUGGGUGUGUAGCUGACAGGCAUGUAUUUUGCAAACAAGACCCUAGAAAGAAACAGAGACUUGCAUUUGGGUCCCUAAUUGAUUUGAACAGAAGAAGUCCAGCAACGGCGAUUAAAAUUCGGUGAGGAGACUCACCGGUGGUGAGGUUAAGGUGGGGAAAAAGGUUCAGGAGCUCACGGCGGACUUGGGGGUGGCUGGAAUCGUAGAAGGGAAGCUUGGAGGCGGCGGUUCGACUAGAUACAGAGCCGGCGCGGUGAGGUUCCGAGGGCGGCGAUGGUGUUCCGGCGACUGGAGUGCAGGAAGGUGAAGGAAAUUGGUCAGGGAGCUUCGGCGUGGAGAUGUGGUGCUGAUGGUGCCCUUGGCGAAGGAGGAGAAGGGGUGGAACUUUGGUAAAACUAGAAUUAGAACGGCGGCGGAGAGUGAGAUCGCUGGCGCGAUGUUCUGGGCUUGGUGUGCGCGGAAGGAGGAAGAAGAGUGGAUCAGGAAGGGGCAGUCAGAUGCGGUGGUGCUGGUGGAGCACGAAAUUGGAGAGGAGAAGCGGCGGAGACGGUUGACGGCGGUGGACAGAGGAGCUCCGGCGAAGUAGUCGAGCGGAGAAGAGAACAGGAAUGCGGGUGCCCGCGAGGGGAUAGAAGAAAGGAGAAGGUUACUGGGCGCAUUUCCAAGCUAAAAAGAGGUGUGCGGGCGGGCGGCAAGCAGCUGCUGGUGGUCGACGGCGUGCAUGGUGGCUCAGGCAGGCAGCGGCGCGACGCGUUUGCGUGAGGAGGAGCCAGCGGGGUCGGUUAAGCGGCGGGCGGGCGAGCUGGGGCCAGGUGGUGCAGGAAGAGCGGCGAAGGGGCAGCUGGCGGUCGGGGAAAAUGCCGGCGAUGGGUGGUGGGUGGCGCUGCAAAGAAACAGAGAGGGGGAAGCAGGAGGAAGAAGAUGAGGACCUGUUAGUAAAUUUUGCAAAAGUUCAAGGAGUUCAGUCAAAAAUAAAAUUUUAUUCCAAACUAUAGCUCUAAUGAAAAUAUGCCCAAAAUCAAAAGUGUAGAGCUUAAAAAUAUCUACCACUUUGCUUUAGGGUCUAACUUAAGAAGAGUUAGGGUUUUGAAAUUACAUUUAAAAAUCAACAAAUCAUUCAAUUUUAAAUAAAUCCAAAAUAAGUUUUACCCUUUCAAUGAAGCCUUGGAGUAUUUACACUUCUUACAGUGGUUAAAGAGUGAAAACUCAUGUUUGCAAAUUAACCAUUCAUAUUUUUGAAAUUACCUCCCAUUUAUACACAAUUUACAAAAAGAACCCUAAUUUUUCCCAAUAUUACAAAAAUACCCUUUAACGUGUUUUUAAGUUUUUAAAGGCAUUCAUCAAAACAAACACAAACUUCACACUAACAAGCUCAACUUCAUACUAAAAAUUAGCGUGCCUAGCUCCUAAGUACCUGAAAUGUCACAGCCUCUCUCCCUAAAAAGAAUCUCGUCCUGAGAUUCCAGAACAGAAGGGAAUUGAAAGAUUAGAUACUUGGUUUCGCUCUAAGGAAGUCUGGAAAGUUGUGCUGAAGAUAAGACUCAGUUUCCCAAGUCACUUCUUCUUCAGUAUGAUAGUUCCAUUGGAUCUUAAACAUCCUGACUGUCUCUCUUCUUGUGGUUCUCUCUUUAGUAUCCAGUAUUCUGAUCGGAUGUUCAGUAUAAGAUAGGUCUGGCUUGAUUUUGAUGGGUUGGAAAUUGAUGACCUCGGUAGGGAUUUUGAUGCAUUUCUUAAGCUGAGAUACAUGGAAGAUAUUAUGAAUGGCUGCUAGCUGGUAAGGAAGUUGAAGACGUUAAGCUACGGGUCCACAAGUUUCAAGAAUUUCAAAAGGUCCAACGUAUCGAGGAGCGAGUUUUCCUUUCAUACCAAACCGUUGAACACCUCGGGUAGGAGAUAUCCUUAGGUAUACAAAGUCACCAACUUCAAAUUGCAAUGGAAGAUAUUAUUUUGAAUGAUCUUCACUUUUUCUUCUACUUCAGUGACAAGAUCAGGUCCAAAAAUUUUACGUUCGCUGGUUUGAGACCAAUUCAAAGGAGUUCGGCAUCGGCGACCGCAUAAUGCUUCAAAAAGAGCCAUUUUGAGACUCAACUGAUAACUAUUAUUGUAGGAGAAUUCUGCCAAGGCUAAGCAUUUGUCCUAAUUUUUGUCAUAUUGGAUUACACAGGCUCUAAGCAUAUCCUCUAGGAUUUGAUUUAUCCUUUUCGUUUGUCCAUCUAUUUGCAAAUGAUACACGGAGCUUCGAAUUAAUUUUGUUCCAAGAGAGUGUUGGAGUUGCUCCCAGAAACGAGCAAUGAACUGUGCUCCAUGAUCAGAGAUGAUUGUCUUAGGUAUUCCAUGGAGACGAACGAUUUGGUCUAGAUAGAUCUCGGCAUACUUCUUAGCAUUGUAAGUAGUAUGCACGGGAAGGAAAUGGGCGGUUUUGGUUAAUCGAUCAACGGUUACCCAAAUAGAAUCAUGCCUCCGGGAAGUGUUGAGUAAGCCAACGAUGAAAUCCAUGCUGAUAUCUUCCCACUUCCAAGAAGGAAUGGGUAAAGGUUGAAGAAUACCAGCAAUUUUUAAGUGACUGGCUUUAACUCUUUGGCAAAUAUCACACUCAGAGACAUAUCUUGUAAUUUCUCUUUUCAUGCGAGUCUACCAAAAGUUUUGUCUCAGGUCUUGGUACAUUUUGGUACCGCUAGGGUGCAUAGAGAACUUGAAUAGAUGUGCCUCAUCUAAAAUCUGCUUACGAAGCUGAUGGUCCUUGGGUACAACAAUACGUCCCUUGAACCAUAGAAUUCCUUUGUGAUCUACUUGAAAACACUUAUACUUUUCUUCUCCCGAGCUAGCUGUUGUUUGAUGAUUUUGACUCCUUCAUCAUGUAGUUGUGCCCUAAUAAUACUAUUUUGAAGUGUGGGUUCAACUGCUAUAUGAUUCAAACUACCUUGAGGAAUAAUCUCAAGAUUAAGCUUUCUCAUUUCCUAGCAGAGAGUUUCACUGAUGCUUCUAUUGAUAAGCAAUGGCAACGCGCUUUGCAGCUGAGUGCAUCCGCAACCACAUUGGCUUUGCCUGGAUGAUAGUGCACUUCCAGAUCAUAAUCUUUUAUAAGCUCUAGCCAACGUCUUUGUCUCAUAUUUAGAUCUGCCUGUGUAAAAAUAUACUUGAGACUCUUAUGGUCAGUGUAAAUGUUACACUUAGUACCCAUAAGAUAGUGUCUCCAGAUCUUAAGCGCAUGGAUAACGGCUGCAAGCUCAAGAUCAUGGGUAGGAUAGUUCUAUUCAUGAGUCCUAAGUGCUCGUGAGGCAUAAGCAAUUACUCGGUUGUUUUGCAUGAGUACACAACCAAGUCCGAUGCCCAACGCAUCGCAAUAGAUAUCAAAUGGUUUGGAAUUAUCUGGCUGAGCCAAAACUAGAGCAGUAGUGAGGUGUGCUCUUAGAGUGUGGAAUGCCUCUUCACAUUUCUCAUUCCAGGAGAAUUUAACUCCUUUCUUCAGCAAUUCUGUCAUUGGCUUGGCUAUUUUAGUGAAGCCUGGGAUGAAACGAUGGUAAUAGCCAGCAAGACCAAGAAAACUACGGAUCUGAUGGACUGAAGUAGGGGGCUUCCAAUCCAUCACUUCCUAAACUUUACUUGGAUCAAUAGAUAUACCGUCAUUGGAGAUGGUGUGACCCAAAAAUUUAACUGUAUCUAGCCAAAAUUCACAUUUGGAGAAUUUGGCAUACAAGUGGUGUUCUCACAAUCUCUAAAGAAUAAUAUAAAGAUGUCUAGCUUGAUCUUCUAGAUUUUUGGAAUAGAUCAGAAUAUCCUUGAUGAAUACUACGACGAAUUUAUCAAGCUCUGGCAUAAAGACAGAGUUCAUGAGAUACAUGAAAUAUGCUGGGGCGUUGGUAAGGUCAAAAUACAUAACUAGAUAUUCAUAAAAUCCAUAUCUGGUGGAGAAUGCUAUCUUUGGGAUGUCGCUGGGCUUAAUCUUUAUCUUGUGAUAUCCAGAGCAAAGGUCAAUUUUGGAGAAUACCUUGGAUCCAGCUAAUUGAUCGAACAAGAUGUCAAUACGGGGAAGAGGAUAUUUGUUUUUGAUGGUUACUGUAUUGAGGGGGCGAUAGUCCACAUAUAGUCUGAGUCUAUGGUCCUUUUUCUUUACAAACAAAGCUGGGCAUCCCCAUGGUGAAGCACUUGGAUGAAUAAAACCUUUAUCAAGAUGGUCCUAAAGUUGAACUUUUAAUUCUGCCAGCUCAUUGGGUGGCAUACGAUAGAGUCUUUUAGAGAUGGGGGCUGUACCGGGUUGUAACUCUAUAAUAAACUCAAUAUCCCUAUCAGAAGGCAUCCAGGGCAAAUCAUCUAGAAAAACAUCUGGGUAAUCACAUACGACAGGGAUGUCCUCAAGCUUGAUCCCUUCUAUGGUAUAAACGCAAGAAUCGAUAUAUUUCCACUGUGGAAGAUAUAGAAUAGUAGCCUUGUAAUCAGGUGAGUCUAUCUCAACCGCUCAGGAAGAGAUAUCUAAUGAUAUGGUGCCUAGUUAUCUAAUCCAUACCUAGUAGGAUAUCCAUUCCUUCUAGGUUUAGCAAAAUUAAAUCUGUCUUUAUCAGGUUGCUACCCAUUUGAAUUGGCACAUCUCUACAGAUUUGAUUUGAAGCAAUUUUACCGCCAGGAGUCACUAUCAUAUAUGUUCCUUUAGUAUGAUAGAAAUCCAAGCCUACUUUUGUUCCAAAUGUUGGACUGAUAAAGCUAUAGGUUGCACCAGAAUCAAAAAGUAUAACUGCAAGUUGAUGGUGUAUAGUGAAAGUACCCAUCAUUAUUGGUGCACCCUCAGAAAGUUUGGAGAGAGUUGUGAAAUUCACCCUCCCUUGGCGGACUUGUAUAGUUUGCUUCUUGUCUCUACCCUUGCUGCUCGGGUUGGAAGUCUGCCCUUGGAAUGAUUUCCUAGGUUGAGGACAAUUUUUGGUAAAAUGCGAUGAACUGCCGCAAUUGAAACAAUGAUUGUUGUUGUUUCCCUGGUUGAACUGCGGAAAGUUCGGCCUUAGUCCAAGCUGUUGCUGCUGAUGUUGAGGCUGAGGCACUGGUGGCCUGUUGAAUCUAGACUGCUGAGGGGAUCUAGCUACCCAUCUGCCUGAUAGAUUGUUCCAGGGUGGGGCUCGUGGAGAUGUAUUCUGGACUAACCGAUACCUCGGGGGUUGAGCACUCGAGGGUCCAGUGGGUAUCUUCCGCUUCUUCUCAGCCCAAUGGGCUGAAACACAAUCUUCCUGAGUAAUUGCCAUGUUGACUAGCUCAUUGAAGGUGUCUGUCUUAACAAGAUUCAGUCGUUCCUUAAGCUUGGUGUUCAGGCCACGACGGAAACGAUCUCGCUUCUUGGCAUCGGUGUUUGCAUGAUAACCUGCAUAUUGACACAGAUAAUUGAAGGCCCGUGCGUACUGCAUUACGGUGCGGGUUCCCUGGGUAAGAGCUAAAAAUUCAUUGAGCUUCCACUCAAUGAGCCCUUCAGGAAUAUGAUGCGCCCUAAAGGUGGUCCGAAACUCUUCCCAUGUGACUACAUGUCCAUCUGGCUGCAUGGCAUAAUAAUGAUCCCGCCAAAUGCGAGCAAUGCCAUGAAGCUGCUGUGCUGCAAAGAUUGCCUUGUUUGCUUCGGAGCAUGGUGUGGAUAGUAGUGCGAAUUUCAACUCAAUAUUGCGGAGCCACGCAUCCGCAUCAAGAGGCUCUUCGAUCUUAUGAAAAAGUGGAGGCUGUGUGCUAAAGAAAUCUUGGUAACUAGCAGAGGGAUGUUCAUCACGACCUCAUUGCUGAUGAUGGAACUGGUUCUGCUGUGCCUGCACUAGCUGAUCAAGGAGUUCAGUCUGUCAUGCCAUUACUUCUGCUAGAUUUGGUGGUGGUGGCGGCGGUUGUUGGGAACCGCUAGCCUGGUCCAUCCUGAAACCUUCAGGGGUUCCACGCGUAGCGCCAACCAUCUGAAGAAUGGAAGAUGUCCAUUAGAAAUCACCAAUACUUGCUUCCAUUUUCAGGAAUAUACCGCACAAAAAUAAAAUAUAUGGAAAUAGUGCAACAGAGAGAUAGCUCAAUAGAUAACUGGACAGGAAACUUAGGCUAUAGAUCAUAAACUGAUGGUCAUUACUAUGUUACAUCGCGGUAGUCUACUAACUACAAAUCAAGCCAUGCCUACACAUGUCACAUAUAAUACAACAAGUGGCCCUUAGGUCAAACAAGACUGCUCUCUCCCUAUAUCACACUAUACUACACUAAGUACAUCUAGAAGGUUGAUGAUUUGGAAAAGACUAGAAAUCGUCGAGGUUGCCCACAGACGACUGGCUGCUAGAAGAAGAACGAUUGGGCUGAGGAUUAGGUUCGGGAUCUCCAUGCUCGGAAUCAAGAUCGGAAACUCCUUCAAUCUCUUUCGGGUCUUCUUCUUCAUCUUCACUUUCAGACUCUUCAGGUGUGACAGGAGGUACUGGCUGCUCAUGAAGCAUAUCGAUAUGGGCGAUGGCGUCGUCAAGCUCAAGACUAAGGUCAUGGACUUGCUCUUGGAGAAACUCGAUGACAGUGUUGUGCUGAAUGAUUAAUGUAUCACUCUCAAUGAUCUGAUCCUCUCGGUGAGUGAUGGUUUCGUCCCGCUGUGCGAUAACCUCAUCUUUAGCAGUGAUUGUGGCUUGGAGCUCUUCAAUUUGAGUAAUCUGCUGGUUAAUAUUUCUUUGAUAACCUUGAGCUAUACUGGUCAUUUGGCUCAUACCGUGGCGCUGAAGUAUCUGAUGACGAUAUUGUGCAUUCAUAAACCUGACGGUAGCACGUAGGGUCUCUUCUGUCAAAUCUCCCAAUAAGUGUCCAAAAUGGGAUACUCGAAAAGUCCACUCCGGGUCACGAGAAUCUACUGCAGGGAACAAACCAAUAGGAUACCUGGCAACUUCAUCUGGAUGCUGGUCACAGAAAAUGUUGAUGGCUUCAAGAGCUGCAUCUUCAAAAGUGUCUGCUAGACGGUGACCAACCAUAUCAAUCUCAAUGGGCUGCCACAGGGAUCGCGAUGAAUGCGGGGGAAUAGUCAUCUUCACUCUGCACCGAGGAACACCAUCUUCACUAUACUCCACUCCAUCAUAUUGCGGUGGCUCGGUGUAGCUAAACAACUGAAGUGACUCCCACAAGAGACAUGGAAAACCCUCCCAAUGCAAGGCAUUGGUGUGAGCAUGUCCCUCAUGGUCCCAAAAGAUCUUUAGAAAAUCUGCCAUCUAAAGCAAAGAUUCAAAUGGUAAGGUUGCAAGUUUUCAAGAAAAAUGCUUUGAGAAAACUACGGGAAAAAUGUGAGUCAGACUCAUGGAAUAGCUAGGAUGCAACUACCCUGUUGAGAACUCACAAGAUAAAUGGAACGAGACAACCGAUUCUGGUAGUAGCAAAGGCUAGAAAUCAGAUAGAUGAUAUAGAUCUUGAGGAUGAAACAAAAGAUGCCGAGAUACUAAACCCUAAGGUUGUCUGUAUGACCAUUUCAAAACUGCACCUAUGAUAAGCAACACUCUAGAUAGCCUUAAAACAACAAGCCAUUAAUUCAUUCACUUUGUUUAAUCAUGAAGUAUGCAUGCACGUACUACUUGUCCUCACAACCAAAAACAAUUGCCAAAUUUUUUUGAACUUACGUGGUUAGUUUCAGUAGCAUAGUAUAUAUACGUCUCUUCCUAUAAUAGCUAGUCGAGAGAUCCUAUUUGUUUAGAGCCUAUCGAGUUGGGGUUAGCGUACCUACAGAAAAAUCAUAUAUAUCAUGAACCUUUCAUGCCAGCACGUCAUGAAAGCGUUCCCAAAAUUACUGUUCACUUAUAGAAAUAGCAUCUGUACAAUUCUCGCUGUACAGACGAUGUUAACAUAUGUUACUUGUGACAGUUCAUGUAUUUUUAACGUUAGAUAUAUAUUUUGUUAGUGUAAAAUAUGUGUUUGUUAGUAUAAAGCUUGUGUGUGUUUGUGUGAAACUUUUGAAAAUUUAAAAGUGCAAGUAAAAAGGGUAUUUUUGUAAUUAUAGAAAAACCUAGGGUUGUUUUUGUAAAAUGUAUUGGAUAAGGGUAAUUUCAAAAUAAGUGAAAGGUGGUUUUGUAAAUAUGUUUUUCUUACUUUAUUCCCUGUAAAAAAUAUAUAUUUAUUCGAAAGUUGUAUUUGAAAUGUGGGUGUUGAAGUGUGUAAAAAAUUUUGGGUAAAGUGGUAAGAAUAAGGGUAUUUAUGUAAUUUUAUAAAAGUACAAGUCCUUUUACGCAAGUAUUUGAUUUACAAAAGUAACUUUUAAAUUUACUCAGGACUAAAGUGUAAAAGUGCAAGUCAUCAUGACAUGUCUAUCCAAUCAUUAUGAUAAGUCUAUCCCGUCAUUAUGACGUGUCAUAAAUGCUUGCAUUUAAGUCCUGAAUUUUAUAAAGUUUCGCCCUUUAGGACAAAAGCAAUUCAAAUCCGACUUUUGUUCAAAGAUUUACAUGUAAAAAUAUAAAUUUUGAGUUUUUGAACUUGGGCCCUAAAGCAAUGUUGUAGAGUUUGAAAAACUCUCCAACUUUCAUUUUGGGCAUUUCUUCAUUAGGGUUUUAAAUCGAUAGGAAAUUUUACUUUACAAACAGGUCCCUGCAGUUUUCUGAUUUUACAUAUAAGCCCUUGAGGAAAUUCAACUGUCUUUCUUCUCUCUUCUACCUUAUCCUGGCGCCUACCUUCUUCUUUAUCCCCAACCGGCAGCACUGUCCAAUCCCGUUUUCCCCUCUCUUUUCUCCAUUGGUGUUCCCCUGCCUUCCUCUCUCUCUCCUCCAACCAGGCAAGGCGGCGUGGGGGCUUGGCUCUGGGCGAGCACGGCCCCAGGCGGCGCAGCACGUGGGGCCAGCCCGAGUGGCGGGUGGCUCCCAGGCGCGGCCGGGCGCUCUGCAGGCGGCGCAUGCGGCCCAGGCGAAGGCCGGCGGCACAGGCGAAGCGCACAGGGAGGCGGCAGGCGCUGCGCAGGGCGAGGCCCAGGCGAGGGCGAGCGCGGCCCCAGGCCAGGCGGAGGCGCGCAGGGCUGGGCGCAUGCGGCAGUGCGCAGGGCCGAGCGGGUGCGGUACUGGCGCUGGGCGGCAGAGCUGGUCGGUCAGAGCGCGGGCGACGUGCGGGUGCUUGCGGCGCGGCAGCAGGCGGUUGUGGCGCAUGGGAGCGAGUGGCUCUGCGGGUGGCGCUGGAGGCCGGUGCACGGCGGGCGCGGGAGCUGGGCUUGGCGGCGCGCAUGAGCUAGCGGCACAGGAGUGGAUCCAGGCGUGGAGACGCACGGGAGCGAGCAGAGGCGCGAACGCGGAGCGAGCAGGAGCAACUGGCGACGAUGUGCAGGGAAGUUGCGUGCGCGAGGGUGACGUGCGGGAGCCGAGCGCAGGAGCAACUGGCGACGAUGUGCAGGGAAGUUGCGUGCGCGAGGGUGACGUGCGGGAGCCGAGCGCAGGAGCGAAGCUGACGGCUUCAGGCGAACAGACGGCGCUAGCUCGCGGGCGUUGGGCGAACAGGAGCUGGAGCGCAGCGCAGUGGAAGCAGCCCGUCGGUUCGGGAGUGGCGCGGAUAGGAGCGAAGGCUGGUGAUGCGGACGCACGGAUCGAGUAGCACGUGCGCGGCGAAGCAAAGUGGGCGCUGUUGCGUGGAUGCGCGGGAAUGACACGGCAAGGCUGGAGCAAGCACGGCGUAGAUGUAGGUGGCGUGGGCAUGUGAGUGCAGGAGCAGGACUCGAGCGGAGAUGGAAGGCCUGGAGCGAGCAAUGAAGUGCAGGGCGGUUUCAGACGCGAGAGCAGCAGCGCGAUACGGGCCAAGGACGCGCGCGGCUCGGACAUGUGCAGAUGUAACGCGGCGAGGCCGAAGCGAGCGGGUGACCAACAGCGGAAGAAGGAGGAAGAUCUAUGCAGGGCAACAACGUACAAAGCGGCGGCGCGCAACGCAUGACGGAGUUCCCACUGGGUGAGCUCAGGCCGCGAUCGAGCUGGUGUGCAGGAGGGUCGCGCGUGAUGGACAUUAGAGACCGUCGAGGAAAACACAGCGGAAGGCACGGUCCUAAUACAGGUUGACCACAGUCCUCGCGGAGGCAGAAAGGGCGAGUGUGGCGUAGCGAAGCAAAAGUGAAGGUUCGUACGGAUCUGGACUAGUACGUCCGCGGAUACGAGCGAGAGUGUUCUACUAGUGGCCGGCUCAACUCAAUUCAGCAAGCGCGUGCGUGUACAAGACAACAAGCCAUCUUCCACCCACGACAACCCUCCCCGACAAACUUCUUUGUCAUCCACGGGAUCUCAUCAUCGUCGAGCUUUUCUCUUCGCCGAUCCUGUUCGCCACGGGAAUCCACUUUUUACCCGUUCUUCCUCCACAUCUGAAACUACCCCAAGGUUUGCCCUAGUUCACUGAAUCUUCUUAAUGCCGGCGACUCCUUUGCCGGAAUAUCGUUGUUAUCUUCCUGUUAUCUAUUUUCCCGGACCAGGGACUUGACUGCCAUGUUUUAGAAAAUUCUACGGUGUUCUUUGUAAUAUUUCCAAAGCUUUUUGUAUUUCAAAUCGAUGAACUUCUACCUUUCAUAGAUUUUCGUAGGAAGUUCAUAAAAAUGUAAAAUCAGUUUUGUUUGAAACACUAAGUCAAGCUCUACAAGUUUUACGUCGCGAUCUUGAAUUGAAGUCUUUGAUGUGUGGUCUAGGUCAUAUGUUAGGAAAUGAAUAUUUAAUUGUGCUUUAUAUUGAAUGCUUGUAUUAUAGCUGAAAAGUAAGCCAUAGAAUGUAUGUCUUAAAUAGAAAUGUGUGAUAUCUAACUAAUCCUUUCCCACGAAGUGCUCAUAUCCCUACCCUCAAGACAUUGCUCUCGUCUUGAUUGCAAUCUCCUUAAGGCCCUUUUCGUAUAAGAAUCUUUGAUUAGUUCAUGUGCAUCUGCUGCUUAGCUACUACAUCUCGGCAGCUGUGCUUCAGUGUCAAGCUAUCAGCUCAGCCGCUAAGCAUCUGUUUCCUUUGAGUUUAGAAUACUUCUGUGUAACAGUUAUCAGCCGAUGCAUUUCUUUUGAUAUGCUUCUACCAUCGGCUGGUUGACUGAAACGGUUGUUACCUUUCUAGUAUCGGCUACUGCCCAUAACAUUCUGUUGUUCCGUCCUACAUCGGCUAUCACAUAGCCGAUCAAUUUAAGGUGCACACACGAUCUUAGGGUUCUUGCUAUCGACCGAUCCAAGCCAAUUCUAGUCGUUUUCCGUAUCGGUUAAAUAUGGCCGAUCAAUCCUUAGUUUCCCCAUCCUUAUCCACACACUUCUAUCAGUCGAUUUAUCAACUGAGAGGUCGGCUAUAUACUUAUCGGUCACAUACCCUCAACCACACUCCAAUCGGCUAUACGUCACUCAACAGUUAUGCUGACGUAAUCGAGUCGAUACAAUCACACUUAGUUACCUAGAAUAACACUUAAGCACAUCUUAGUUAAGACAACUGCUUUAGAAAUAUCCCUCUGCUGAAGUAAUCAAUGCUUCCAUCGAUCAUCUAAGAACCCGAUGCACACAUCAAUCGGCUAAACCUUUGUUGUUUCCAAUCAGCUCCAUUGUGACCCUCAACAAGUAGCCGAUUCUAAUUAGUUAUCCCUCUAAAGCUCUAUCUAAGUUUAGUUUUAGAUCUUUUUGGGUGUAAUGUGAAUUAUGUGUUAUAUGAGUGUUGAAUUGCAAUUGUAUUGUAAAGUAAGAUAGUUUCACAUGCACGUUUUGAAUGUAAUGUCGCAUUGCAUGUAGAUACAAUUACUUCGGCAACGGUAUCUACGAGAUCUCCCCGGAGUCUACGGAGGAUGUUCCUGAAGUUCAAGUAAACGUCACCAAGGGAUUAACUGAAGCCCCGAACCAAAGUUCGGAAGAUAUUGACAUUUCUGACUUCAGCCCCACCAGUAAAGGCAAGCCCCGGACAUAUCCCACUACUUUAUUUACUCUGCAAUAUAUGUCUAUCUAUAUUAUAUCUUGCAUCAAGUCUUGGAAUUGAAGUGAAACCCUAGAUGCAUGAAUCCUAGGAAUCCAAUGUAAUGCUCCUGAGUCCUUAUCGGAUAGAUGCUCCGCUAAUAGGACCGAUAGAAGUCGGGUGAUUUCCUGUCACUCGCGCGAUAUAGGAGUUGCUUGUUUACAAUUCUGCAACCACUAUAAGGAUGACGGACAGGGUCAUGUGCUGUAUCAUGACCUUGAAGUUUACCCUGUCUGUUUCGUUAAAAGUUGAUAAGGUCGAUAUGUGUGGUAGUGGUGGCUAAGCGUUUGAACAGUACUAGCCAUAUGCCGCAAAAUAUGGUAAAGCGGUAAGCCUAGUAACCAAUCGGCCCGGUAAGUGGACAUACCUCCCACCACUCGAUCUUUAUGUUAUGUUCACACGCACCGACCUGUGGGAGUACGUUCUGCAUGGCAGACAGGAAUACGGGUUUUGUAGUCGCGCUACAGACGUAUGUCCUGCACGAGUGAUGUCCGUACGGUCCUACAAGUCGCUUAUGGUGGCCUGUCCACGAGUCGGAAUGAAAGGUAUACGGUUGCUUCGGAACACCCGGUUGGUGUUCCAAGCGUGUGUGUUAGGUUUACCUUGCAAGGUUGAAUUUCGAUUCAGGAAUCGUCCGCCUCUCACGAUGCAUGAGACUGCUUAUCCCUUUUACCACAUUGAGUAAGAAGUGUAACAAAUGAUGGAUAAUCUUGAUGGAUGAUAAUCACCACCUUACUUGCUUAGUGUAGGUGCUAAUCUAGAAUAAAUACUCAACUAGAAUCUGAAAGCUAAAAUUUGAAAGUAGUUAUACUCUUUGUUGCUUUUCAGCUGAAAAUAAACUCAGAGCCCCAUAUGAUACCUUCAUGAGACUAGUUAUGGGCUAAAGUAUACCCAAUCCCGGGUAAGCCUUGCUGAGUAUUAGAAUACUCAGCCUUGCUAGUUUUAUGUUUUUCAGGUAAAGCCUUUGAAGAUCCUACUCUUCCCCUGUCUUGGCCCUGUGCUCUUCCAGAUGGUUGGUCCGUGGAAUGGGAUCCGUCCCCGGCCAACAUUGAUGAAACCGAGUGAUGUCGUGCCCGGGCUUAGCAUGACAUCCAUCUUGACGGCGUGUUGUGAAUCGUCGCGUAUGUUUUCCGCUGCUAAAAACCAUAACUUUAACAGUUUGUAAUGUUUUCUCUAAAUUUGAAACUUUGCACUAUUGUUGGAAACUCUUGUAACGUAAUUCUCUGUGAUGUAAAAUAUGGUGGUGACUGUAUCUCUGGACUCACCUUCGUGUGAGGUAACCUUAUUGAUCCUGUGUUCGGUGGUUUAUCGGGACGUUACCCGACAGGCCAAGGGAUUAUACCGUUUGAAGCACGUUGGAGCCCUCGGGAAUGUACUCACAUACUUGAGCCGGUAUAAUUCAGGUUGGUUCUGCCACAUUACUUUCGCAACGUAUUCACAGGAUACCGUAUAAAAUAGGGGUAUGAACAGCGAUCACCAUACCUCUUGCCUAACCAUAUACUCCCAAUAUAAUCAACUUAUCGUUGGUAUAUUGGCAGCAUCUCAAGUAAGCCACUGCUUGAGAAUCAGCGUUCAGUUCGCAUCACCGACGGGAAGGCCAAGCUCUCUCAGUUGGCUGAGGAUCCUUACCCGCUUAUCUCAUCAUCGAAUGCGUCGUUACAGAAUAUAAAAUUGAUUGUGCUCGAAAGUAAGUUUUUACAGAAAUGUAGUGCUGGAAGUUAGAGUAGUACUAUAAGCGUACUGUGUAUAUAUAUUAGUAGCUACCUAAUAAUUCCCAUAUAAACCCCUAAGGCUUUAUGUACUAAGCACAAUUCUUAACGAAACCAACGUAAUAUAUUUUUUUACAAAAUACUUUGUUGGUCCAAUUUUAUUCUAAAAAUAUUUUUACGGUCAAUCAUAUCUCCGGUGUACACUUGUUAGCUCUGAUACCAGACUGUGGCAGAACCGCUUGAAUUAUUCCGGCUCAAGUGCGCAGAUCAUUGCUAUACAGGCGAUAUGACCUCAACGCGCUUCAAACGGAAUAACCCAAUGGUCUGUCGGGUAACAUCCCGAUGAAACCAACGGAUUCCGGAUCGUUCAAGCGUACCUCGCAUGAAGGCGAGUCCAGAGAUACAAUCACUAUUACAUUUUUACAACAUAGUCAUAGUAGUUAUUACAAACCGGUUUCUAGUAGAGUACUGCAAUCCUAACUGAAACAAAUUUAUACAGACAUUGUUUGAAAACAUCAAGUUUCAACAAAAAUUAUUCCGAGAUGGCAGCGGAAAAGAUACAACAACACGACUACUCGUCGCAAAGAAGGCACCAUACUUAGCCCAAAGCAUGGCGUCAUUCCGAAGGGUCAUUGCCGGCCGGGGACGGAUCCCAUUCCAUGUACCAGCCAGGCGGUAAAGUGCAGGGCCAAGGAGAACUAGCAACUGAGUCCUCGAAUGACAUACCUGAAAACCACAUUACUAGCAAGGCUGAGUAUGCUAAUACUCAGCAAGACUUACCCGUCAAUUGGGUAUACUUAGCCCAUAACUAGACCAUGAGAUGUUGAAAGGCUCUAGGUUUCUUUUGUUGAAAAACAACAAAGAGUAUAUCCUUAUUUCUAUAUUUUAGCUUUCAGAUUCUAGUUCAAUUAGCCAUUCUAAGUGAGCAUCUAUACUAGACAAGCAAGUUAGGUAUUAAAUCAUAUAUCAAUAUUAUUCCACCAACUAUUGCUCUUAUUACUCUAUAUGGCAGAAGUAUCAAGCAGUCUCACUCACCGCGAGAAACGGACGAUUCCUGAAUCGAAUUUCUUAACCUUGCAAGAGAUUGUAACUCACACGCUCGGAAACUUUCCUUUCCGGGCAACCAUUCCCCUCACAUUCCGGGUCGUGGAUCAGCGCCACCACAAGCGACUGCAGGACCAUACGCACAUCCAAUAUGUAGGACGUACGUCUACAGCGCGACUGUAUGACCGUACUCCCAUCUGCUAUGCAGAACGUACUCCCACACGUUGGUGCAUGUUUACAUAAACCAAAAUUCGAGUGGUGGGGGAUAUGUCCACUUGCCGGGCCAAUCAGGUACUAGUCUUACCGCGUACCAUAUUUACGUUAUGUGGCUAGUAUUUUCAAACACUUGACCACCACUACCACACACUGCGGCCUUAUCAAAUUGAUCAACACAGACGGGGUACCAUCCCAUGUUAUGGUACUACACAUAACCCCAUCCGUGAUCGUUAUAGUGAUUGCAAAAUAGUAAAUAAUCAAUUCCUAUAUCGCGCAAGUGACAGGAAAUCACUCGACUUCUGCCGGUCCUAUUAGCAAAGCAUCUACUUGAUAAGGACUCGAAAACAUUACAUAGGUUCCUAGGUUUCAUGCAACUAGGGUUUUAUAACAACUCCUAGCACUUAAUGCACAAGAUAGAUAAAUAACAAUAUAAGUGCAUAAUUUUAAAUCACUGGGUUAUGCACUGGGGCUUGCCUUCACUGGUGAGGCUGGGGUCAGUGAUGUCAGUAUCUUCUGAACAUGGGUUUGGGGCUUCAGAAAGACCCUUGGCGACAUUUACUUGAGCUUCAGAAAUACCCUCGUCGGGUUCCGGGAUUAGCUCGUUGGUACCGUUGGCGAGUGUAGUCAAAUCUACAUGAUAUUCAAUUAUUUGAAGCAAAUGGUUAUUAUUUUGUUUUCAUGAUAAAGUUGCAAUCCAACAAGAAUAUAUUCAAUAUAUCACUUCAAGACUUAACUAAUUUGUACAAACAACAAAAAGAUUUGAAACUAAACUUAAGUAGAGUUUCUGGUGUAAAAACUUUGUUCAAAAUGGUUAUUUGGUGAAGGUUACAGAGCUGAUCUGAUCUACUUAACAGCAUGUUCUUCAGACAGUUUAUCUAGCUGAUUGGGGUGUGCAUCGGAAAAGUCAAUCUGUGCAUACUGGAUCGACUGUGUUUAGCCGAUUGAUGUGUCCUAUAUCGGCUGUGCCUUAGCCGAUACCUGCCUGAGGUGUUAACCUGGGUAACUAUUUCUGCAUGCAUCGGCUUGAUUUUUCUUUGGCAAAAGUAGCCGAUAGAGGUGUAGCCGAUCGAUGUGUAGUCGAUGAGCGUGUGGCCGAUGGGUGUGUAGCUGACGGGCGUGUAUGUUGCAAACAAGACCCUAGAAAGAAAUAGAGACUUGCAUUUGGGUCCCUAAUUGAUUUGAACAGAAGAAGUCGAGCGGCGGCAAUUAAAAUCCGGUGAGGGGACUCACCGGCGGUGAAGGAAAGGUGGGGAAAAAGGUUCAGGAGCUCACAGCGGACUUAGGGUUGGCUGGAAUCAUAGAAGGGAAGCUCGGAGGCGGAGGUUCGACUAGAUAUAGAGCCGGCGCGGUGAGGUUCCGAGGGUGGCGACGGUGUUCCGGCGAUUGGAGUGCAGGAAGGUGAAGGAAAUUGGUCAGGGAGCUUUGGCGUGGAGAUGUGGUGCUGAUGGUGCCCUUGGCGAAGGAGAAGGGGUGGAACUUCGGUUCGACUAGAAUUAGAACGGCGUCAGAAAGUGAGAUCGCAGGCGUGAUGUUCUCGGCUGCGCGUGCGUGGGAGGAGGAAGAAGAGUGGAUCAGGAUGGGGCAAUGAGAUGCGACGGUGCCAGUGGAGCACGAAAUUGGAGAGGAGAAGCGGCAGAGACGGCUGACGGCGGUGGACAGAGGAGCUCCGGCGAAGUAGUCGAGUGGAGAAGAGAACAGGAAUGCGGGUGCCCGCGAGGGGAUAGAAGAAAGGAUAAGUUUACUGGGUGCGUUCCCAAGCUAAAAAGAGGUGUGCGGGUGGGCAGCAAGCAGCUGCUGGUGGUCGACGGCGCGCGUGCCGGCUCAGGCAGGCAGCGCCGCGACGCAUCUGCGCGAGGAGGAGCCAGCGGGGUCGGUUAAGCGGCGGGCGGGCGAGCUGGGGCCAGGUGGCGCAGGAGGAGCGGCGAAGGGGCAGCUAGUGGCUGGGGAAAACGCCCGCGAUGGGCGGUGGGCGGCGCUGCAGAGAAACAGAGAGGGCGAAGCAGGAGGAAGAAGAUGAGGAUCUGUUCGUAAAUUUUGCAAAAGUUCAAGGAGCUCACUGAAAAAUAAAAUUUUCUUCCAAAUUAUAGCGCUAAUGAAAAUAUGCCCAACAUCAAAAGUGUAGAGCUUAAGAAGAUCUACCACUUUGCUUUAGGGUCUAACUUAAAAAGAGUUAGGGUUUUGAAACUACUUUUAAAAAUCAACAACUCAUUCAAUUUCAAAUAAAUCCAAAAUAAGUUUUACCCUUUCAAUGAAGCCUUGGAGUAUUUACACUUCUUACAGUGGUUAAAGAGUGAAAACUCAUAUUUGCAAAUUAACCCUUCAUAUUUUUGAAAUUACCUCCCAUUUAUACACAAUUUAAAAAAGAACCCUAAUUUUUCCCAAUAUUACAAAAAUACCCUUUAACAUGUUUUUAAGUUCUUAAAGGCAUUCAUCGAAACAAACACAAACUUCACACUAACAAGCUCAACUUCAUACUAAAAAUUAGCAUGCCUAGCUCCUAAGUACCUGAAAUGUCACAACCGGCAUCCAGCUUAGGCAACAGGCCGAUGACAGAUAUCUUUCUUACAAAUUCCCCUCCAACAUCCCUCAAUGGAAAAACCACUGGUUUUACAUCGGGAACCAUGUCCCCCAACUCCCUGAAACGACGGGUAAACCCCCGGUCCUGCGGCCGGAGUGAAAUAUCGAGCUCGCCAAGGUUGACAUGGACCAAGUCAAUGAAUUGCUAGCGCUCAUAGCAGCCUAUAAGGAGAUAGGGGUGACCGGCGCGUCAGUAAUGUUUUCAUUCUUCAAAUGCCGAAUCCAACCAAUCCAGCACGCCAUACGCUAGGCUUCGAGUACAUCGGUGCUUGAGACCUAUCUCGGAUGUGCACAGAGGAGUUGACCGAUGAUGCCACGCUCAUCCGAGUCAAGCUGUUGAAUGUCAACACGUUGCCCUACGUCCCAGAGCUGUUCUCAGCACAAAAUCCUCCAGAACCGGUAAAGUUUCGACUACUUGAAGGAAUUUCUGUUGUUCUGGAACUUCCACUGACUGAAAAUCCUCUGCAGGGACACACGGCAUUGUACCGGAGUUAUCUUCCACAAGCCGACAUCCCCCAGCCAUACCACCUUCUUCCCAGCGCCGCAGCUGAAGCAAAAAAGGCUCAAUCUUCUGACGAUUAGCCUAGCGGUGAGACGACUGAAAGGGAAAACCCCCUAGCAGAGAAAACAACUGAUGGAAAGGCGAACAAGAACAACUCCCCCGGAUCAUCCGUGGAGUUGGUGGAAGCCUUGCCAUCAGUCCCUCGGGGUCGUCGGGUGGUGCGCAAGCGUAAAGCCAACAUAGUCGAACCCACCAGGUAUGGGGGCCACCGUCUUGUAGAAUUAUCAAGUCUUGUGUGUUGGAUGCUAACUUUGUCUGUGGUGCAGUCCUUCUUCUUCUCCUGCCGACCCCAAGCAUCAAAAGAUGAUCGGGACCGCGUUUGCUGGGAUGAUGUUCCAGUAGGAGGCUCUGCAGAGACUGCUGGGACGGACCCGUUGUUAUCACCAUAAUCUGGAUGGGCCGAAAGUGGGCCAUGGAGCAAGAUGGGCUUGGAAGAUAACUAUAAUAGGCUUGCGAAUUGGACCUUGUAUGGAUGGUUGGGGCCAGAAAGGCCGUGUAAAUAUAGAUAUAGGCAGUUAAGAGUCAUGUCAUGUUUGGUUAGGGUUGGUUAACAAAGACAAGUCUACGGACUAUAAAUAUGUACCAUGAAUAAACAAGAGAGGAAGCAUUCAUCAACAACUCUCGGCGCAUCGCCUCCCCUGUUCUAGGGUUUUCUCGGGUAUGUGCCAUGUGGCCCCGACCACGUUCUGCGUGAUCGGGGCAGCAUCACCCUUACUCAUUCAUUUUAUGUGUUACUCGUUCUGAAGCCUUGUAGAUGGCGAGUAGCGCUGGUUAUCUUAACAUGCAUAGAGUAACAUUAUUUUCUUCCUAUUCCGAUCAUGCUUUGUCUGUUGCUCAUGAGUGUUUGGUGGUCAUCACGUCCGAUCCUGAACGCGAUGGUCAUGUCUUGCUUUAUCCUUAUCAGUAGAUCCAAUCUGUUACGACUAGUUUCUAUUUAUUAGAGAUUUAGCUCAAUAUGUGCAUGAUUAGGCCUUGCAAACGAGUUGAAGGUUCCGGCAGUUUGAUUAGUAUCAAAUCGUGGCUCGAAAAGAGAUUGCUUCAGGAAUCGGCUCUUCGGCUGGUUUUUGGAUCUCUGGUUAGGUUGAUUGUUCCGAUACUUUUGGGUAUUUGUUAGGCUCAAUCACGCGUAGGACGUUCCGAUUGUGCAGUGAGGGCUUAGUUAUUGUGGGUUGGAUUAGAUUGAUAUUUAUGAAGCAAGAUUUAUUUUGUUGUCAAGUAUAUAUAUAUAUAUUGCCUAUUCCAAAGAUCCGAUCCGGUAUUGAUGCAAUCGGCUCUUCAUAGCCGAUACCGGGGAGGAAUGACGAGCCGAUCACGGCUCGGACUAACGUUUACACGUGUCUGUGUGUGGCAGAACCAACCUGAAUUAUACCGGCUCAAGUACGUGAGUCCACUCCUGAGGGCUCCAACAUGCUUCAAACGGUAUAAUCCCUUGGCCUGUCAGGUAGCGUCCCGAUAAACCACCGAUACACAGGAUCAAAUAAGGUUACCUCACACGAAGGUGAGUCCAGAGAUACAGUCACCAUCAUACUUUACAUCACAAGUAAAUACAUUACAAGAGUUUCUAAAAGUAGUGCGAAGUUUCAAAUCUAGAGAAAACAUUACAAAUUGUUUUGGCAGUGAAAAAACAUAUGCGAUGAUUUACAACACGUCGUCAAGACGGAUGUCGUGCUAAGCCCGGGCACGACAUCACUCGGUAUCAUCAGUGCUGGCCGGGGACGGAUCCCAUUCCAUGGACCAACCAUCUGGAAGAUCACAGGGCCAAGACAGGGGAAGAGUAGGAUCUUCAAAGGCUUUACCUGAAAAACAUAAAACUAGCAAGGCUGAGUAUACUAAUACUCAGCAAGGCUUACCGUUUCAAGGUAUACUUAGCCAUGUAACUAGACUUAUGAAGGCUUAUAAGGGUUCUGGGUUUAGUUUCAGCUGAAAAGCAACAAAAGUAGAUCCUUAAUUUCAACUUUUAGCUUUCAGGUUCUAGUUGAUUAUCCAUUCUAGAUAAGCACCUAUAUCUACUCAAGCAAGGUAGAGCUCUUUACAUCAACCAUCAGCAUUACUCAUCAUAUAGUUGCUCUUGUUACUCUGUGUGAUAAAGGGAUCAAGCAGUCUCAAUCUUCGUGAGAAGCGGACGAUUCUAAAUCGAAUUUAACCUUGCAAGGUAAACCUAACUCACACGCUUGGAACACCAAAGGGUCGUUCCGAAGCAACCGUUUGCCUUUCAUUCUGACUCGUGGAUCAGAUCCAUCACAAGCGACUGCAGGACCAUACGCACUUCCAAAGUGCAGGACAUACGUCUGUAGCGCGACUACAAAACCCAUAUUCCUGGUUGCCCUUGCAACACGUAUUCCCACACGUCGAAUCAAGUAACCAAAAGAACCAAAUACAUGUGGUGGGAGGUAUGUCCACUCCUCGGGCCGAUUGGUUACUAGGCUUACCGCUUACCAUAUUUCGCAGCAUGUGGUUAGUACUUUCAAACGCUUAACCCCGAUCGGCACACACCGCGACCUUAUCCAAUUUAUCAACACAGACGGGGUAUCAUUCCUUUCCAUGAUACUGCACAUAACCCCGUCCGUCAUCCUUAUAGUGAUUACAAGAAUGUAAAUAUUACAAUUCCUAUAUCGCGCGAGUGACAGGAAAUCACCCGACUUCUACCGGUCCUAUUAGCAUAGUAGCUAGUCGGACUCAAGUUCUAGUGUUCAGUACAUCGGUUCCUGGAAUUAUGCAACUAGGGUUUCAAGCAAUUCCUAAGAACUUAAUGCAUAGAAUACGUCAAUAUCUUCCGAAUUUUGGUUCGGGGCUUCAGUUAAUCCCUUGGUGAUGUUCACUUGGUCUUCAGGAACAUCCUCUGCAGACUUCUGGGAGAUCUCGUAGGUACCGUUUGCAGAAGUAGUCGUAUCUACAUGCAAUGCAACAUUACAUUCAAGUGUGCACACAAAACUAUUUUACUUCAUAACAAAGUUGCAAUUCAACACUCAUUUAAUAUAUUACUUACAAAACAACCAAAAAGAUCUGAAACUACACUUAGAUAGAACUUUAGGAGGACAACUAAUUAAGAUGGACUAUUUGCUGAAGACUACAGCAGUGUUGAUUGGAAACAACAGGGGUUCAGUCAAUAGAUUUGAUAAAGAAGGGAGUUCUCUAUACAGUUUUAGGAGAUCUGCUGAUUUCUGUUUAGAAGAGAAAUCGGCAUGAGUAAUUUCUGUAUAUAAGCAGAAGAGAUUAACCAAUUUGGUUUCACCUAAGGUUAAAAUGGCUGAUAGAGGUAGGAAUAUUAAAGGUACAGUGCUUCAAGGACAGAAAAAGGAAGGAUUUUGCCGAUUGGAUUAUCAUCAUGUUUUUGCCUAACUGAUGGUUGGUGUAUCGGCUUGCCUUAUUUGACGAGGGUGCAUCAGGUUUAGCCGAUUGAUGUGCUUAGGUCGUGUCUAACAAAGGCGUGUCUACUGUGUUAGUUUACUGAUCUAGGGUUGUGUACUUUGGCCUGUGUAGCUGAUUGAUAGGUGCAUCGGUUUCCUAGUUGAUUGAUGAAAGCAUCGAUUAGUUUAGCAGAGGGAUGAUUCCUAAAGCAGUUGUGUCUUAAUUGAGAUGUGCUUAAGUGUUAUCCUCGGUAACUAGGUGUGGUUGUAUUGAUUCGAUUACGUCAGCACAACUAUUGAGUGAUGUACAGCCGAUUGGAGUGUGGUUGAGGGUAUGUGACCGAUAGAUAUAUAGCCGAUUUCCUAACUGAUAAAUCGACUGAUAGAAGUGUGGAGAUAAAGAUGGGAAAACUAAGGAUUGAUCGACCAUGUUCGAUUGAUAUAGAAGACAACUAGAAUCGGCUUGGAUCAGCCGAUAGCAGAAACCCUAAGAUCGUGUGUGCAUCUCCGAUGCAUCGACUAUGUGUAGCCGAUGUAGGAUGGAAUAAAGGAAUUAUAUCGGCAGUAGCCGACAUAAGCAAGAUAACAACCGUAUCAGCUAACCAGCCGAUGGUAGAAGCAUAUCAAAAGAAAUGUAUCGGCUGACAGCUGUUACACAGAAACAUCAUAGAUUCAAGGAAACGGAUGUUUAACGGCUGAGCUGGUAGCCGUUGCUGAAGCAUAGCUGCAGAGAUGUAUAGGCUAAGCAGCAAAUACACACAAACUAACAAGGAUCCCUAUACGAAAAGGACCUUAAGGAAACGGCAUUCAAAACAAGGACAAAGUCUUGAUGGCAGGGAUAUGAGCACUCGUGUGAUAGGAUUAACUAAAUAUCACACAUCUCCACUUGAGACAUACAUCCUAUGAUUUACCUUUCAGCUACAACACAUGCAUAUCACAUAAGGUACGAACAAAGCAUUCAUUUCCUAAUAUUUAACCUAGACCACACAUCAAAGACUUUCAACUCAAAAUCACAACAUACAACUUGUAGACUUGACCUAAAGGUUCAAACAAAACUGAUUUUGCAUUUUUAUGAACUUCUUACAAAAAUCUAUGAAAUGUAGAAGUUCACUGAUUUGAAAUAAAGAAGGCCCUAGAGAUUUUACAGAAAACACCCUAGAACUUUCUAAAUCGAAGUAAUUAAGUCCCUGGUCAGGGAAAAUAGAGAACAGGAAGAUAACGAUGAUAUUCCGGCAAAGGGGUCGCCGGUAUUAGGAAGAUUUAGUGAAUCAGGGCAAACCUUGGGGUAGCCUUGGUUGUAGAGAAGAAUAGGCGGAAAGUGAAUUGCCGCGGUGAAUAGGAUCGGCGAUGAGAAGUACUCGACGGUGACGAGAUUCCGUGGGUGACGAAGAAGUUUGUCGGGAAUUGCAGUGGGUGAAGAAUGACCGAAGAGGUAUUCCUCACGGUGAUCCGUGGCGACGAUAGUCGGCUUUGCCACGGUAACGAUGUUCUGGCGAAGGGAUCCGAAGAGACUCGAUGGGAGGGUCCAGGAGUUUCUUUGAGGUGCUGUGGUCUUGCUCGGCGAUCGACGAGGGAAAGGAGUUGCUCGAUGUCGUGGACCAUGGAGUAAGACGAUGGAGCUGGAUGGGUUCGCUAUACCGACUUCUUCGCGAACCCCAGGGUUUUCCUGCUCAUGGACUAAGCCUCCACUGCUCACGCGCGUGUGCCGCUGAGACACGGCCGGCACACCCGCGUAGCUUCCUGCAGGACCGCCGCUCCUGAUCGCAUCUCCGGUGCGCCGCUUCUGUUCUGCUCCCACACCAACGGCCCCCAACCUGCAUGCGCGUGGUCGAUUGCCUUGCUUACGCACGCGCCUGCGGAAACGAAUCGAGCCGGCCGUCAGUCCUGCGUCAUGACACAUUCAUCCCCCUCUGUCUCCGCACAAACCGAAGCCCGCUCGCACCGGGGCCAUCUCUAUAUCCUCCACGAGCAACUCGUAGUGCCGCCUGACCUCGUCCGCUGCCUUCACUUUGACGGCUUCCGACGUCCUCCACACGCGGUCCUGCUGCUCCCGUACGGAUCCGCCUGCAGCCGCCGCACUGCAGCUCCUCCCGCACCGCGCGUGACUUCCCUGCACACCGUCGUCCUGCACGCCGCGCAACUACUCCUCCUCUUCCUGCUGCUGGACACGCGCUCGCCCCGGCCUUGCCGCGCCUCAACUCCAUCCGUGCACAUCCGAACCGCGUGCGUUCUCGGCCAGCGUCACGUCUUGUUUACACAGCCUGUGUGCCGCAGCCGCAGCUCCACUAGCACGCGCGCACCAGCACCGCAAGUCUCAAGUCUGCUGCAGUGCCGCCACGCCGGUCCUCUUCUGCUCGCGCGCUGCCACGCCGCGAGCUUCGCUCCAGCGCCGCCUGGCUCGCGUGUCGCUCACGCGUCUGCUCCACGCCUCCCGCAUGCCCGCGCAGCGCUCGCACCAGCCGCUGCAAGCUCCUGUGCCCGCGCGCCUAAGCGCCCCGCCGAGCCGCCGCUACCGCUCGCGCCGCACUAGCCCGCCUGCGGCGCUCCGUCCCUGGGCCCUCCGCGCACACGCCUGCCCAGCGCCCGCGCCUGCUUGCGCCGCAGCCGCCCGCCUGAGCCGCUGCCGCCAGCCGUCCGCCGAGCCACGCGCUCCGCUCGCCUGCUCCUGUCCAGCUCCCGCGCUCGCCUGGCCCCGAGCACCCGCCAGCUCCACGCCCACCUGUGCCGCGCCUGCUGCGGCCCACGCGCCCGAGCCGCACGCUCCGCUCGCCCGCACUGCUCCGUGCCGCGCCCGCCUAGCACCAGCGCCACGCGCCCACUCACGCUCGCCCGGCGCCUGCUCCGUGCCGCUCCCGCCUAGCACCAGCGCCGGGCCCACACGCCGCCAGCCGAGCCGCUAGCGCCCGCUCCUCCCGCGGCCGGCCCAGCUGCGUGCGCCAGCGCCUGCCUCCGCGCUGCGCCUGCGUCCGCACAGCUCCCGCAGCCCGAGCCCCAGCGCCCGCACGCACGCGCCAGAGCCGCCGCUCUGCCGCCGCCCUGCUAACGCCCGCCUGCCGCGUGCCUGGAGCUGAGCAGAGGGAGAGAGGAAGGAAAGAAGAUUUGGAUGGAGCCGUCGGUGGGAGAAAAAGAUAGAGACGCCUGGGAGAAAAGAAACAGAGGAGAAGGAGAAGGAGGAAUGGAUUUCCCCAAGGACUUAUGCGUAAUUUUAGAAAAUUGCAGGGGUCUUUCUGUAAAGCAUAAAUUUCACAUCAAUCUAAAACCCUAAUGAAGAAAUGCCCAAAAUGAAAGUUGGAGAGUUUUUCAAACUCUACAACAUUGCUUUAGGACUCAAGUUCAAAAACUCAAAACUUAUACCUUUACACGGGAAAUUUUGAACAAAAGUUGGAUUUGAAUUACUUUUGUCCUAAAGAGUGUAACUUUAUAAAAUUCAGGACCUAAAUGCAAGCAUUUAGGACACGUCAUGAUGACGGGAUAGACUCGUCAUAAUGAUUGGAUAGACAUGUCAUAAUGACCUGCACCUUUUACACUUUAGUCCUGAGUAAUUUUGAAAGUUACUUUUAUAAAUCAAAUACUUGCACAAAAGGACUUAUACUUUUAUAAAAUUACAUAAACACCCUAAUUUUUACCACUUUACCCAAAAUUUUUAUACAAUUCAACACAUGCAUUUCUAAUGCAAUUUUUGGAUAAAGAUAUACUUUUAAAAGACAUAAAAUAAGAAAAACAUAUUUGCAAAACUACCCUUCAUUUAAUUUGGAGUUACCUCCUAUCCAAUUACAUUUUGCAAAAAAAACAACCCUAGGUUUUUCUGUAAUUACAAAAAUACCCUUUUUACUUGCACCAUUAAAUUUUCAAAAGCUUCACACAAACAUACAUGAGCUUUAUACUAACAAACACAUAUUUCACACUAACAAAUAAUAUGCCUAGCUUACAAGUAAUUGAACUGUCACACUGUGCAUACAGGAAUUUAAUACAUCACACCUCCCUGAUCAGGUACAGGAUCAGGUAGCAUGCCUAGCGACUCCAGACCAGGGUGUGCGCCGGAUUAUUGGGCCGUUGACUGAGGGACCGGGGCCCACCAGCAGUCCUGGAAGCCUCCCGGCUCCUCGUGUUGCCUGUCACUGCUCGUCGGCGGGUUUUGACCGACAACAGUGCCGUGCAGCCCCGGUCACAUCUUGCGUGAUCGGGGCAGCGUUGUCCUUACUUGUUUACAUUUGUGUUGCUCAUUCUGAAGCAUUAUUGAUGGCGAGUAGCGCUAGUUAUCUCAACGCGUGUAGAACAACGAUUAGUCUUUUCUUGGUUUUAAUUAUGUUUUGUUCGUUAUCUAUAAGCGUUUAGCUGUUAUCGGACCCAAGUUUGGGUACGAGGGCAGCAUCUUGCUCUGUUCUUAUUUAGUAGAUCCAAUCUAUCAUGGUUAGUCUUUGAUCAUCAGAGAUUUAGUUUAAUAUCUGUGUAAUUAGGCCCUACAAACGAGCUGAAAGUUCCGGCAGUAUGAUUGGUAUCUUGUAAUAGCUUAGAGAGGGAUUGUUCCGGGAAUCGGCUUUCGGGUUGGUUGUUAGGCCUCUGUUUAGGUUGUUGCAUUGCUAUCCUUUUGUAUCUGUUAGGCUCGAUUAAGUGUAGGAUGUUCCGAUUACAAAGUGAGAGCUUUAAUCGUCGUAGAUUGGAUUAGCUUAAUGUUUAUAGAGUGAAGUUUGUACUGUUAUCGGAUAUAUUUGCCUUAUUCAUAAAUCCGAUCCGGUAAUUGAACACAAUCGGCUCUUUACAGCCGAUACCGGGAAGCAUUCGAUGAGCCGAUUACGGCUCGGACUAACGUUUACAUGUGUCUGUGCAUACAGGAAACUAACACAUAACACCUUCCUGAUCAGGUACAGGGUCAGGUGGCACGCCUAGCGACUCCAAGCCAGGGCGUGUGCCGGAUCUCGGGCCGUUGACCGAGGGACCGGGGCCCACUAGCAGUCCUGGGAGCCUCCUGGCUCCUCGUGUUGCCUGUCGCUGCUCGCCGGCGGGUUUUGAUCGGCAACAGGUAUAAAGUGGGCCACCUUGGUGAAUCGGUCCACAAUGACCCAUAUGGAAUCAUAACCAUCUCGGGUGCGUGGCAACCCCACAAUGAAAUCCAUACCAAUUUCUUCCCAUUUCCAUUCUAGCACCUUCAAUGGUUAUAACAAGCCGGCUGGUUUCUAAUGUUCUACCUUGACCCUCUGACAUACAUCACAAAGUGCCACAUGAGCUGCAACAUCACGCUUCAUACCAUACCACCAAUAUCUCUCUUUCAAAUCUUGGUACAUCUUGGUACUGCCAAGAUGGAUAGAAUAAGCCGAGUCAUGAGCUUCCCGCAUAAUUUUCUCUCGAAGGUGGUCCACAUCGGGCAUGCAUAUCCUCUUUCUGAACCAUACUGUUCCCUAUUUAUCUUUGAUGAAGUCAGGUGCCUUGCCUGCUUCAAUCAUCUCCCUUAUCUCCUGUAUCUUAGGAUCCUCACCCUUCCGUAUCUCUUGUUCAAGGGUCGGCUCUACCUCUAUAGUGAUUCCUUCCAUGUGAGCGAUGAACCCCAGAUUAAGCCGUUCAAACUCUUCGCACAACUCCCAUGGCAUCUAGCUAACCAUGAUCGCAUUCACAUGACUCUUGCGACUCAAGGCAUCAGCAACCACAUUUGCUUUCCCUGGAUGAUAGUGUAUCUCCAGAUCAUAAUCCUUGAUGAGCUCUAACCAUCUUCGCUGUUGUAACACCCUAAUGUAAUUUUCCCAAAUUUUAAGGAAUUUAUUUGGGCUUAAAUAAAAUUUCCAGGGUUUUCUCUAAUUUAUCUUGCAUUUAAAGUAAUCUUAUAACGCAAGUAAUUAAAAUUUAUGAUAGGAUCAACUUGUUUGUGCGUUCAUGCUGGAGCAUUGGUUUUAUUUGUGUGGAGUGUAUAGAGUUUGAAUUCAAAUUUACUUGAAUUCAACUAGAUUUGUUUGAAUGGUUAGAGUAUAGAAAAAGAAAAGGAAAGGAGAAGGAAUAAAAGAAGGCAGCCCAAACCUCCUCAUUGGCCCGACCUAGCUCUCCCUCCCUCCCUCCCCUCUUCUCUCCCCGUGGGCCGCGCCCCGGCCCAGUUCUCCCCAGCCCCGCGCCUCUCUCUUCUCUCUCUUUCCCUCCGCAGCCCAGCCCGAGCCAGCUCUCCCCCUUCCUCUCUUUGGCAGUGCGGUCCCACCGAUCAGCGCCCUUCUUCCCCCUCUCCUCCUUCUUCCCCGGCGCGCAACGUCCCGCGAGAUCUCCGGCGACCUUCUUCCCCAAGGCCCGCACGCCAAUGGGACCCCGCCGCCCUACAAAAGGGGUUUCCCCCGUCCCUUGGAACCCUAACCCUAAGCUUCGCAGGACCCGAGGCACCCUAGCGCUACCCCCGCUCUGCUCCGCCGCGUUCCCCCUCUCUGAGCCACCGUGGGCACGCCGUUUUACCGCACCCAGGCCCGCUCGAGCCAUCGCAUCAGCUUCGCCUCACCACCCAGGAACUCCAGCGCCCUUCACCCUCGACUCCAGUCUGCUAUUGUGCCCGAAUUUCUCCCGAAGGUCGUCGCAGGUGAGCACGGCCGCGCGCCGCAAUUGCUUGCCGCCGGAGGACCGCGGGCCCCCUUAACACUUUGGUCGCCUCCGCAGGAGCUUCCCGGAUCGAUCCCCGCAAUCCAGAGGGCCCGGCCACCUCGGCAUUACCCUCCUCCGCGAGAGCCCGAUCUCCUCCGCCGCAGGACCUCGUCGCCGGCCAUCCUCCGCUGUAGCACCGGCCACCACAAGCCCCUGGUGAGCACCACACUCCCUCCCCACAGCUUAUGCACUAGAUGUCGAAGCCCAGGACCCUUCCUAGCCCCUGGAACGCCGCUCGCCGGCGAUGUCCGCCACCCCGAGCCGCCCUCGCCGUCGAUACGCCCUAACCGAGCCCAAGUCCACCCCCGCGUGUGCCCAGCUGGGUUCCCCGUAUCGUGCUGAGUCUCCUGGGCUUGAUCUCGUCGUGAAUUGUCCCCGGGAACGCGUAAUCGUGUGUCUAAGGCGAGCCGCCGCCGCGGGAAGGGAGCUCCGGUGACCUCCUCCGCCGCCCGUGCGCCCAGUAGUCCCGAGCCGUAGGAUCCAAGGCGAACGGACAGGAUUAGACCGAGACUGAGGUAGAUCUGAGCCGUGCGAUCGAGAUCCGGUGGUUCGGGUCAAGCGAUACCGGUUCGGUGUGAGAUGGAGUCAGAGCCGUCCGAUUCAAGAUCUGCGAUGUGGAUUAGAUUCGUUUAAGUAUAGGUCCGGACCGUUCGAUUUAGAUCGGAUGGCCAUGGUGAGCGCGUACCCCUUCGCGUAAUAGAUCUAAUCCGCGCUGUUAGAUCCGGAUCCAAGGGCCCAGAACAGAAGAUACCGGUUCAGCCAGUUGGUUUUGCUAAAAAGUCCCUGCCCUUUCGGGAAUCAACCCGCGGUCCACCCUUAGUUCAAAAGAAAUUUUAGUCAAGUCCUGUUUUACCCGUUUAGACCCCUGAGCUUUCCAGUUUUUGAACCCGCCGUCCAAGCCCCUGGUUUUCGCGUGCUAGCCCCUGUGUCUACCCUUUAUUUACAUUUAGGUCCCUGGUUUUUGUCCAGAACCCCCUGUAGUCCAGUUUUUCUCGCAAAUAGGUCCCUGGAUCUUGUUUCAAGCGUAGAUUUCGCGUCUUAGCUCCGUUUUAGGUGUUCUUUAUGUCCACGCGAUCGUUGUAACGCGUAGAAUAGUUCUAGGCUAGUUUUGUGUGCUGUUCUAUGGUAUUGGUGUACUGUUUUCUUAUAGUUUGCUAUUGUUUGUGCAUGUGUGUAUGUGUGGACUAUGCUUGAUGAUCGUGAGUAGACGCGGAGCCUUUGGACGAGUACCAGGAACAGCCAUCUUCCGAGCAGUUCGAGCAGCAGCCGGGAGAGUACGAGGAAGGCAAGUAUAACAUCAACAUCCUAUCACUUUUUAAUACGAUUUCAUACUGCAUUUUAAUACUGUAUGCCUAUAAGGACUUUCCUAGCCACUUUAUAUCCUAUAUAUAUAUCCUUUGGGUUGCAUUAUGGUUAGUUGUGCUAGGUUGCUGCGCUAUAACAAACUUGGUCCUUUUUAAUUAAAUUUGGUUAAUGGUCUUGUGCAACUUAAUCCUAAGCGUGGCCCUCUGUGCUGUGUGCUUGAGUGGCUCACAUCUCCGUAAAAGAUGUUUUGUUAGAAACUUGGUUUAGGGGGCCAGCACGGUGCUUAGUGCUUGGUUGGCCACUCUCCAUAAGGACCGGUUCAUAGAGCGACAACCUGGGACAACCGCGCAACCACAAGACUGGAAUACACGGUCUUGACUUACUAAUUAGGCCGUGUUGGUUCGGGAGUAACUUACCUGCGUGGGCAAGAGGGGUGGUAAGCUUCAAUGGUCCCUGCUCCUCCGGCUUGGUCUGUGCUGUGUGUCUUGUACCCCCGGAGGUGGGCCCCAUCGUUGCUGAUCCAGAAUCCUUAGCGGUUACACCCUACCAACGUGAUCCUUUGUAACGGUCUCGUAGUGUGCUUGCUAGCCAUCUCACCUAAGGAAGUGUGAUGAACAACUAGCGUAGCUCACGACUUGUGGGUAAAGUUGUGCAACUUCUCAAGAGUGUAAAACUGAUAUAUCAGCUGUGCUCACAGUUAUGAGCGGCCUAGAUCCUCCUUUUGAUUAGUGGGGUUAUCAACCUUUGAUUAGGGAGAUUUCCCGGGUGGUUUUGGUUUGGUUGGUUUCUCAGUAGUUCUUAACUAAUAUUGAUUAAUUUCUUAUGCAAUAUGGGUUUAUGGUAAUUCAUCCACUUAUAGUAAAUAGUUUUAAUAAAAAUUUGCCAAGAUUAAAAGCUACUGCAGUUGAGUCAGCUAACCCUAGAGCCUCAUACUCGUGUUAUACUUGUUGAGUACAAGUUGUGUACUCACACUUGCCUCUUCCUCUCUUCUAUUCUCUUUGGGAUAACUUCGACUGCUGCUCAGUACCAGACGACGUGGAGGACUACAUCAGCGGACUCGACGAUUUCUAGGCGUUGUCUCCCAGUU
rnacentral:lncRNA from 1 species